CCAAUUUAUAUGUUAGUUUGCCUGUGGCUUCGGUCACUGGUAUUAACUACUAUGUAAACGUUGAACUAGAUCAAUUGGUGUGGAUUGCUUGGGAAUGGACGAAGCGAUGAGCCUCUUCCGGACAGGCAAGCCCCACACUGAUAACCUUUUUCAUAUCAUUUACUCGUAUAUACUACCACAACAACAAAAAACAAAAGCUAUAAUAGGACUUAUUAACGGCUGAGUGGGUAACAUCCUCGGCUUAAACAUAUAACUAUUA
rnacentral:misc_RNA from 1 species